rnacentral:rRNA from 1 species
GACAGAGGGUGCAAACGUUGCUCGGAAUUACUGGGCGUAAAGCGCGUGUAGGCGGCUUUGUAAGUCCAACGUGAAAGCCCGGGGCUCAACCCCGGAAGUGCGUAGGAUACUGCGAAGCUGGAGUCCUGAAGAGGAGAGCGGAAUUCCCGGUGUAGAGGUGAAAUUCGUAGAUAUCGGGAGGAACACCUGUGGCGAAGGCGGCUCUCUGGGCAGGUACUGACGCUGAGACGCGAAAGCGUGGGGAGCAAACAGG